rnacentral:rRNA from 1 species
UGGGGAAUAUUGCACAAUGGGCGAAAGCCUGAUGCAGCGACGCCGCGUGCGGGAUGAAGGCCUUCGGGUUGUAAACCGCUUUUGAUUGGGAGCAAGCGAGAGUGAGUGUACCUUUCGAAUAAGCACCGGCUAACUACGUGCCAGCAGCCGCGGUAAUACGUAGGUGGCGAGCGUUGUCCGGAAUUACUGGGUGUAAAGGGUGCGUAGGCGGAUUGGCAAGUUGGAUGUGAAAUCUCCGUGCUUAACGCGGAGGUUGCAUUCAAAACUGUUGAUCUUGAGUGAGGCAGAGGCAGGCGGAAUUCCCGGUGUAGCGGUGAAAUGCGUAGAGAUCGGGAGGAACACCAGUGGCGAAGGCGGCCUGCUGGGCCUUAACUGACGCUGAGGCACGAAAGCAUGGGUAGCAAACGGGAUUAGAUACCCCGGUAGUCCUGGCCGUAAACGAUGGGUACUAGGUGUAGGAGGUAUCGACCCCUUCUGUGCCGGAGUUAACGCAAUAAGUAUCCCGCCUGGGGAGUACGGCCGCAAGGCUG